rnacentral:rRNA from 1 species
GAUGAACGCUGGCGGCGUGCCUAAUACAUGCGAGUAGAACGCUGAAGGAGGAGCUUGCUCUUCUGGAUGAGUUGCGAACGGGUGAGUAACGCGUAGGUAACCUGCCUGGUAGCGGGGGAUAACUAUUGGAAACGAUAGCUAAUACCGCAUGACAACAGUUAUUGCAUGAUAACUGUUUAAAAGGGGCAACUGCUCCACUACCAGAUGGACCUGCGUUGUAUUAGCUAGUUGGUGAGGUAACGGCUCACCAAGGCGACGAUACAUAGCCGACCUGAGAGGGUGAUCGGCCACACUGGGACUGAGACACGGCCCAGACUCCUACGGGAGGCAGCAGUAGGGAAUCUUCGGCAAUGGACGGAAGUCUGACCGAGCAACGCCGCGUGAGUGAAGAAGGGUGUCGGAUCGUAAAGCUCUGUUGUAAGAGAAGAACGAGUGUGAGAGUGGAAAGUUCACACUGUGACGGUAUCUUACCAGAAAGGGACGGCUAACUACGUG